AGCGAACGCUGGCGGCAGGCCUAACACAUGCAAGUCGAACGAAGUCUUCGGACUUAGUGGCGGGCGGGUGAGUAACACGUGGGAACGUGCCUUUAGGUUCGGAAUAACUCAGGGAAACUUGUGCUAAUACCGAAUGUGCCCUUCGGGGGAAAGAUUUAUCGCCUUUAGAGCGGCCCGCGUCUGAUUAGCUAGUUGGUGAGGUAAAGGCUCACCAAGGCGACGAUCAGUAGCUGGUCUGAGAGGAUGAUCAGCCACAUUGGGACUGAGACACGGCCCAAACUCCUACGGGAGGCAGCAGUAGGGAAUCUUGCGCAAUGGGCGAAAGCCUGACGCAGCCAUGCCGCGUGAAUGAUGAAGGUCUUAGGAUUGUAAAAUUCUUUCACCGGGGACGAUAAUGACGGUACCCGGAGAAGAAGCCCCGGCUAACUUCGUGCCAGCAGCCGCAGUAA
rnacentral:rRNA from 1 species